GGAUCACUCUGAAACCAAGAGAGUAAUCUGGUUUUCUGGCUCUCUCCCUUUUUCCUCCUUUAUUCAGUGUUAACAAAAUACGAUUGUGUGCCAAACACAGCGCAAAGUCUGUGGAAAGGAGAUGUAUGUGGGAUGGAUGAAAGGCGCUGCAGGUCAUUUUCCACAAGCCACCUCAGAGGACAACACUCCCCCUGGGCCACCGAGCACAGCCAAACUGCUGCUGUGAGCACAGGGCAGAGCACCCCAGCGACUCGGUUGUGCAGGCAAUGUCAUGGAAACUUCAGGUGACUUACAGAUAAUGAUACCAACCACCAGCAGAAGGGGGGGGAAGAAGAAGGGGAAAAAAGACUGCAAAGCAAAGACCAACACAUCACAUAAAGCCUUGCCACAGCACAGUAGGUUUGCUGCCACGGGCUGAUGCUCAAGUCUAGCACCAUCACCUAGGCAAAAAUCAGGCACCUGCCCUCCCAACUUCCAUCUUUGCUUUCAGUUUGUACUCUGAGAAGCUUAGCAGUCAUUCAGUGCUAAGAUGACUUCCUCUUCAGAACUGAAGUAUCAAGAAGAGCGAGACAAAACAACCUGGGCUGGAGCCUUUCACAACAGGAAGGAGGUUGUUACAGCAGUAAUUUACUGUGUUGAAGGAGAAACAGACUGGGCUGCAAAACCGCCCAGAUCCCUGUAGCUACUUGAGGGGACAAUCACAGAAGCCAAGUUCACCCUCUUAGAAAGCUUUUCCCCCAUAACCAGGGUCAUAGAGGAGGAAGGCAAAGCAGAUCCUCCAGACAGCCACAGCCUCCCUGGCCCUCUCCACUAAUACCAUGACAGCAACCAAGGCUGUGGCCAUCAGCUCCAUCUACUGAGGGAUUUAUACUUUGGUGAUUUUGGCUUUGAUUACGAGAUUAAUUUCAUUCACUUGUUUCUCUAAGGUUGUAAAUAAUAUAAACCAGAACACUCAAAAAAGUCCUAAAUACCUCAAACAGGCUUUCAUCAGAACAGAGAAACAAUUGCUCUUAAGACAUCUAUAAAUAGCUUAUUCCUUGUCCUAAUGCAUGCAGGAACGUGGCGUCAGGUCCAUGAAAGCUUCCCAAUGUCUGGAAAAAACUGAAUAAAACCCAAACAGACCAGAAACUUUUUGUGUGUGUGAGAAAGAGUUUACAAAUAAAAACUAAAUGUAAAUAUUGUA